rnacentral:rRNA from 1 species
UACGAAGGGGGCUAGCGUUGUUCGGAUUUACUGGGCGUAAAGCGCACGUAGGCGGAUCGAUCAGUCAGGGGUGAAAUCCCAGAGCUCAACUCUGGAACUGCCUUUGAUACUGUGAUCUGGAGUAUGGAAGAGGUGAGUGGAAUUCCGAGUGUAGAGGUGAAAUUCGUAGAUAUUCGGAGGAACACCAGUGGCGAAGGCGGCUCACUGGUCCAUUACUGACGCUGAGGUGCGAAAGCGUGGGGAGCAAACAGG